AUUAGCUGACGAGUCCCAAAUAGGACGAAACGAGCGUCUUGGAU
rnacentral:hammerhead_ribozyme from 1 species